rnacentral:tRNA from 1 species
GGCAAUGUGGCGGAGUGGUUAUCGCGAUAGACUAGAAUGAAUGUGCGCUAAAAUCGGGUUAACCAGCCCGCCAUCACUUAAAUCUAUUUCCUUCGGGAGCACAGGUUCGAGUCCUGUCAUUGUCG